AGCGUAGACGGCUGUGUAAGUCUGAAGUGAAAGCCCGGGGCUCAACCCCGGGACUGCUUUGGAAACUAUGCAGCUAGAGUGUCGGAGAGGUAAGUGGAAUUCCCAGUAUAGCGGUGAAAUGCGUAGAUAUUGGGAGGAACACCAGUGGCGAAGGCGGCUUACUGGACGAUGACUGACGUUGAGGCUCGAAAGCGUGGGGAGCAAACA
rnacentral:rRNA from 1 species